rnacentral:rRNA from 1 species
AGACUUUGAUCAUGGCUCAGGAUGAACGCUAGCUACAGGCUUAACACAUGCAAGUCGAGGGGAAACGACACCGAAAGCUUGCUUUUGAUGGGCGUCGACCGGCGCACGGGUGAGUAACGCGUAUCCAACCUGCCCACCACUUGGGGAUAACCUUGCGAAAGUAAGACUAAUACCCAAUGAUAUCUCUAGAAGACAUCUGAAAGAGAUUAAAGAUUUAUCGGUGAUGGAUGGGGAUGCGUCUGAUUAGCUUGUUGGCGGGGUAACGGCCCACCAAGGCAACGAUCAGUAGGGGUUCUGAGAGGAAGGUCCCCCACAUUGGAACUGAGACACGGUCCAAACUCCUACGGGAGGCAGCGGUGAGGAAUAUUGGUCAAUGGACGAGAGUCUGAACCAGCCAAGUAGCGUGCAGGAUGACGGCCCUAUGGGUUGUAAACUGCUUUUAUAAGGGAAUAAAGUGAGUCUCGUGAGACUUUUUGCAUGUACCUUAUGAAUAAGGACCGGCUAAUUCCGUGCCAGCAGCCGCGGUAAUACGGAAGGUCCGGGCGUUAUCCGGAUUUAUUGGGUUUAAAGGGAGCGUAGGCCGGAGAUUAAGCGUGUUGUGAAAUGUAGACGCUCAACGUCUGCACUGCAGCGCGAACUGGUUUCCUUGAGUACGCACAAAGUGGGCGGAAUUCGUGGUGUAGCGGUGAAAUGCUUAGAUAUCACGAAGAACUCCGAUUGCGAAGGCAGCUCACUGGAGCGCAACUGACGCUGAAGCUCGAAAGUGCGGGUAUCGAACAGGAUUAGAUACCCUGGUAGUCCGCACGGUAAACGAUGGAUGCCCGCUGUUGGUCUGAAUAGGUCAGCGGCCAAGCGAAAGCAUUAAGCAUCCCACCUGGGGAGUACGCCGGCAACGGUGCAACUCAAAGGAAUUGACGGA